AAAACUUUCAMMAMSGRWUYUCUUGGUUCCAGCAUCCAUGAAAAACGCAGCAAAUGCGAUAACUAAUGUGAAUUGCAUAAUUCAGUGAAUCAUCGAGUCUUUGAACGCACAUUGCGCCCCUCGGUAUUCCGGGGGGCAUGCCUGUUCGAGCGUCAUU
rnacentral:rRNA from 1 species